rnacentral:rRNA from 1 species
GACGAACGCUGGCGGCGUGCUUAACACAUGCAAGUCGAACGAAGUGGCGAACGGGUGAGUAACGCGUAAUCAACCUGCCCUUCAGAGGGGGACAACAGUUGGAAACGACUGCUAAUACCGCAUACUGAAGGAGGGGAUUGCGUCUGAUUAGCUAGUUGGAGGGGUAACGGCCCACCAAGGCGAUGAUCAGUAGCCGGGCUGGAGGGGUGGACGGCCAAAUUGGGACUGGAGCACGGCCCAGGCUCCCACGGGAAGGAGCAGGUGGGAAUCUUCCGCAAUGGACGAAAGUCUGACGGAGCAACGCCGCGUGAGUGAUGACGGCCUUCGGGUUGUAAAGCUCUGUUAAUCGGGACGCGGUACCGGAAUAGAAAGCCACGGCUAACUACGUGCCAGCAGCCGCGGUAAUAC